UUGGAGGGCAAGUCUGGUGCCAGCAGCCGCGGUAAUUCCAGCUCCAAUAGCGUAUAUUAAAGUUGUUGCAGUUAAAAAGCUCGUAGUUGAAUUUCGGGAUUGACGUGAUGGUCAUGCCUUAAGGGGUAUGAACUGUUACUGUUGAUUUCUCACCUUCUGGAGAAACUUGAUGUCCUUUAUUGGGUGUCUUGCGGAUCCAGGACCCUUACCUUGAAAAAAUUAGAGUGUUUAAAGCAGGCAUUUUUGCUCGAAUACAUUAGCAUGGAAUAAUAGAAUAGGACGGCAUGGUUCUAUUUUGUUGGUUUCUAGGAUCACCGUAAUGAUUAAUAGGGAUAGUUGGGGGCAUUAGUAUUCAAUUGUCAGAGGUGAAAUUCUUGGAUUUAUUGAAGACUAACUACUGCGAAAGCAUUUGCCAAGGAUGUUUUCAUUAAUCAAGAACGAAAGUUAGGGGAUCGAAGACGAUCAGAUACCGUCGUAGUCUUAACCAUAAACUAUGCCGACUAGGAAUCAGACGAUGUUAAUUUUUUAAUGACUCGUUUGGCACCUUACGGGAAACCAAAGUGUUUGGGUUC
rnacentral:rRNA from 1 species